ensembl:lncRNA
GGCAAGUGCAUAUUUUCAUACUAAUGUUCAGUAAAUUGUUGAAUUUGAAGAUAAUGAAAAAAAUCUUAUGUGUGUGUGUGUGUAUAUACAAUCUAAAAAAAUUGUACAGAAUCAUGUUUUUUUUUUCUGUUAGUGUAUAAAAAUUAAAAUUAAGCAAUAGAUUUAUAGUGUUAGUAAUCAUCACAUCUUAACUUGGUCAAAGGAUGGAUCUCUCUGUCAGUCGACAGGAUCAUGUUGUCAUCUAAAUAUUUCCCUCAUGCCAUCCUUUCUUCCGUCUGGCUUUCAUCUCCAUGUUCUUGAGCGGCUCAGCUGUUCCUGUUGUUACUGGUGUAAAAAAUAGCCCUCGGGCUGAGAGUUAAUUCAGACCGCCGUCAGCUGCAGGUCCUGGUUGACAGCACAGGUCAGGAGCUUCUCCCUGCACAGACUUCAUGUCAGAAACCCAAACUCCUGUGAUGUCAUUCUAGUCACUGCUGAGGGCCGAACACUUAACAAACUCAUUUAGAUUGCCUUGAAUUACACAGGCUCAACAACAUGCAACAUUUGUUUGUUUUCCAAAUGUCUCUAAUUAUAAUUCACCUCUCAGAAUUCUCAAUCCAAAUGGACCCGUGUUUAAUGUUUUAUAGUCUUCUUUAAUUGAGUAGUUUUGUUCAUGGUUUUUUAGGAUGAAGGCAUUUUGACAUCGGUGUAAUUCGAUCAGCUUCUACUAAGUAACAAAUGAAUUUGAGGCAAAAUACUGUAGAGUUUGAUUGGACACAAAACUUUGACAUCAACAGCAAAAGAUAUGGCCCGUUGUGUCGCCUCCAGCUGUCUGCUGAAGCCCAGAACAUGCCCAAGUCAUCCAUAGACUUCACAUGAGAAGCACAGAGCCUGUCGCGCAGCUUUCAGCAGCUCGUGCUGAGAUCAGCAGUUAAACCAGGCCAAAUAUGAGCCGCGUCUUUAAAAGGAACAAUAUGUCAGUUCGCUAAGCCAGCAAAUGAUCUGUACUGUAUUGACAAGUAACAUCAGAGUGGAAAAUUCUUCUAAUGUCGCUUUUGUUGAGCGUCUACGAUUGAACUAUUGAAAUAUGUCAUCAUAGUAAACAUAAUAAACUGAGUUUAAAGCCUCUGAGAUGACGAAUC